AUUCAUGAUGAGGACACCUUCUUAGUAAGUCUUUAUGCCUCUCCCACGCAUCUUAUAAAGACUCAUUCUCAAACUGAGUGAAUGUUGUAAUGUCGUUCUUGAGCUU